UUCUGAUUCAUUUCUGGGCUCCCUCAUGACCACUUUGUCAAUGUCUACCUUCCUCAGUCUCGAACCAUAAGUGUAUUUUUGAUGCCAGUGAUUAAUGCCAAAACCCUGGAGCCUGGGGAGAGUGUGAUGUUUGACUUUCUUGUACAGCUGCAGUUUAUGGGGUGAAGGUGCUCCCACAAUGUGGUUGGAUUCUACCAUCUGCCGAGCUAGGAUUCGAACAAGGACUUCAGUUGGACAUUUUAAUAUUCUGGAUAAAAGUUAAAUAUAUUAGGCUUGUUCACUCAUUUUAAAUAUCACUAACACUGGAU